ensembl:snoRNA SNORA72 Small nucleolar RNA SNORA72
AUGCGAACUAUUCUCGCCUGUUCGACCGGUCCGUGGUCAGAUCAGGGCUAGUCGUUCGCUAGAUUGACACCAGCACGAGAGCUAGCAGCCCUGGUGCUGUUACCCGGUCUGUUCUCACCCUGCACCCGCUGGUUACAGCC